rnacentral:rRNA from 2 species
ACCCUGAUCCAGCCAUGCCGCGUGAGUGAUGAAGGCCUUAGGGUCGUAAAGCUCUUUCGCCUGUGAAGAUAAUGACGGUAGCAGGUAAAGAAACCCCGGCUAACUCCGUGCCAGCAGCCGCGGUAAUACGGAGGGGGUUAGCGUUGUUCGGAAUUACUGGGCGUAAAGCGCACGUAGGCGGACUGGAAAGUUGGGGGUGAAAUCCCGGGGCUCAACCCCGGAACUGCCUCCAAAACUAUCAGUCUAGAGUUCGAGAGAGGUGAGUGGAAUUCCGAGUGUAGAGGUGAAAUUCGUAGAUAUUCGGAGGAACACCAGUGGCGAAGGCGGCUCACUGGCUCGAUACUGACGCUGAGGUGCGAAAGUGUGGGGAGCAAACAGGAUUAGAUACCCUGGUAGUCCACACCGUAAACGAUGAAUGCCAGUCGUCGGGUAGCAUGCUAUUCGGUGACACACCUAACGGAUUAAGCAUCCGCCUGGG